rnacentral:misc_RNA from 1 species
GUCGUAACAAGGUUUCCGUAGGUGAACCUGCGGAAGGAUCAUUACCACACCGAUCCAAGAUCUUUUUCACCGCGAACCGCGGUCCCGUUGUAGCUGGUGGUGUUGGCCCAAUGGAGGAUAAUCAUAAACAUCCGUUGGCAACCCACUGGUGGGACUGCAAGCUAAAGUGCCACGGUUGCUCUGGCAGCCGUGGUGCGCCCCGUCACUUUACGAUGUUAACCGGUCUGGACCAAACAAACUGAACCAAAAAGGGCUCGGUUGGAGCUGUGGCUUUACCGCCCAGCGACAGCGGCCUGAACAAAGUAAAAUACCUUACAACUUUCAGCGAUGGAUGUCUAGGUUCCCA